AGGGUUCGAUUCUGGCUCAGAAUGAACGCUGGCGGCAUGGAUUAGGCAUGCAAGUCGAACGUGCUCCCUUCGGGGAGAAAGUGGCGAAAGGGUGAGUAACACGUGAGCAACCUGCCUCCGGAUCCGGAAUAAUCCAGGGAAACUUGGUCUAAAACCGGAUGAAGACAUUGGUCCGCAUGGUCUAAUGUUAAAAUAUUUAUAGUCCGGAGAGGGGCUCGCGGCCCAUUAGCUUGUUGGCGGGGUAAUGGCCCACCAAGGCUACGACGGGUAGGUGGUCUGAGAGGAUGGUCACCCACACUGGGACUGAGACACUGCCCAGACUCCUACGGGAGGCUGCAGUCGAGAAUCUUCCGCAAUGGGCGCAAGCCUGACGGAGCGAUGCCGCGUGAGGGAUGAAGGCCUUCGGGUUGUAAACCUCUGUCAUCCGGGACGAAAACAAUGACGGUACCGGAAAAGGAAGCCACGGCUAACCACGUGCCAGCAGCCGC
rnacentral:rRNA from 1 species